rnacentral:pre_miRNA from 1 species
CGGCCAAACUGGGGCGCUGCCACUGUAGCUUGGGGUAAGUGCUCUCUAGUUCGGUUGCU